rnacentral:lncRNA from 1 species
UCAUAUCUGUUAGUUUGGAGAACUUGAAUUUACUCUUUUUGAAACGGUUAGUUAGUAGAACUUGAAUUUACCCUUUGAUCCUAUUAUUCCAUUCCUUGUUUAAACUCAUUACAAGCCUGAAAAUGAAAAACAAUGUGAUCACCCAUUCAUAGGGUUGAAAGAGUAUUGUUUAGAGUUAUAUGGUGUUGACUAAUUAUAGUUGUUAUAUUUCAUUGAAAAGUUGGAAGAAAAAAGAAAAUAUAUAUAUGUAGAAAAUGAAAAAAAAUAUGGAAAAAA